UACGAAGGGUGCAAGCGUUAAUCGGAAUUACUGGGCGUAAAGCGUGCGUAGGCGGUUUGUUAAGUCUGCUGUGAAAUCCCCGGGCUCAACCUGGGAAUGGCAGUGGAUACUGGCAAGCUAGAGUGUGUCAGAGGAUGGUGGAAUUCCCGGUGUAGCGGUGAAAUGCGUAGAGAUCGGGAGGAACAUCAGUGGCGAAGGCGAGUCCCUGGACACCUCCUGACACUGAGGUGCGAAAGCGUGGGGAGCAAACAGGG
rnacentral:rRNA from 1 species